rnacentral:rRNA from 1 species
UACGUAGGGUGCAAGCGUUGUCCGGAUUCACUGGGUUUAAAGGGUGCGUAGGCGGGUUGGUAAGUCCGUGGUGAAAUCCCCAAGCUUAACCUGGGAACUGCCGUGGAUACUAUCAAUCUUGAAUAUCGUGGAGGUAAGCGGAAGUAUGUCAUGUAGCGGUGAAAUGCUUAGAUAUGACUAGAACACCAAUUGCGUAGGCAGCUUACUACACGAUCAUUGACGCUGAGGCACGAAAGCGUGGGGAGCAAACAGG